AUGCAAGUCGAGCGAACGGACGAGAAGCUUGCUUCUCUGAUGUUAGCGGCGGACGGGUGAGUAACACGUGGAUAACCUACCUAUAAGACUGGGAUAACUUCGGGAAACCGGAGCUAAUACCGGAUAAUAUUUUGAACCGCAUGAUUCAAAAGUGAAAGACGGUCUUGCUGUCACUUAUAGAUGGAUCCGCGCUGCAUUAGCUAGUUGGUAAGGUAACGGCUUACCAAGGCAACGAUGCAUAGCCGACCUGAGAGGGUGAUCGGCCACACUGGAACUGAGACACGGUCCAGACUCCUACGGGAGGCAGCAGUAGGGAAUCUUCCGCAAUGGGCGAAAGCCUGACGGAGCAACGCCGCGUGAGUGAUGAAGGUCUUCGGAUCGUAAAACUCUGUUAUUAGGGAAGAACAUAUGUGUAAGUAACUGUGCACAUCUUGACGGUACCUAAUCAGAAAGCCACGGCUAACUACGUGCCAGCAGCCGCGGUAAUACGUAGGUGGCAAGCGUUAUCCGGAAUUAUUGGGCGUAAAGCGCGCGUAGGCGGUUUUUUAAGUCUGAUGUGAAAGCCCACGGCUCAACCGUGGAGGGUCAUUGGAAACUGGAAAACUUGAGUGCAGAAGAGGAAAGUGGAAUUCCAUGUGUAGCGGUGAAAUGCGCAGAGAUAUGGAGGAACACCAGUGGCGAAGGCGACUUUCUGGUCUGUAACUGACGCUGAUGUGCGAAAGCGGGAAGAUCAAACAGGAUUAGAUACCCAGGUAGUCCACGCCGUAAACGAUGAGUGCUAAGUGUUA
rnacentral:rRNA from 1 species